rnacentral:tRNA from 1 species
GGAUAAUAUAGCUCAAUCAGAGCAACUGUAUGUGGCACAGUAGGUUCUCUGUUCAAUUCAGAGUAUUGUCC